AAGCGGUGGAGCAUGUGGUUUAAUUCGAUGCAACGCGAAGAACCUUACCUGGUCUUGACAUCCACAGAACUUUCCAGAGAUGGAUUGGUGCCUUCGGGAACUGUGAGACAGGUGCUGCAUGGCUGUCGUCAGCUCGUGUUGUGAAAUGUUGGGUUAAGUCCCGCAACGAGCGCAACCCUUAUCCUUUGUUGCCAGCGGUCCGGCCGGGAACUCAAAGGAGACUGCCAGUGAUAAACUGGAGGAAGGUGGGGAUGACGUCAAGUCAUCAUGGCCCUUACGACCAGGGCUACACACGUGCUACAAUGGCAUAUACAAAGAGAAGCGACCUCGCGAGAGCAAGCGGACCUCAUAAAGUAUGUCGUAGUCCGGAUUGGAGUCUGCAACUCGACUCCAUGAAGUCGGAAUCGCUAGUAAUCGUAGAUCAGAAUGCUACGGUGAAUACGUUCCCGGGCCUUGUACACACCGCCCGUCACACCAUGGGAGUGGGUUGCAAAAGAAGUAGGUAGCUUAACCUUCGGGAGGGCGCUUACCACUUUGUGAUUCAUGACUGGGGUGAAGUCGUAACAAGGUAACCGUAGGGGAACCUGCGGUUGGAUCACCUCCUUA
rnacentral:rRNA from 1 species